rnacentral:snRNA from 1 species
GGAUGUGAUGGUGAUCUGACGCUGACAUCUGUCACUCCAUUGAUCAUCAGGGUUCACUAGGCUCUGGCUGGUUAUGCAGCUGUCUCCUCCCUCCCUCUCAGGUCCAGAAGAGGAUGACCACUCUGAGAGAGGAUGUCUGCUCUUUGGUCAAGGGUAUAUGAGUAGCUGUGCUCCCAUGCUAAAGCCUCAAAGCAAGCUCUCAGAAAUUCUGAUGCUACCCCAAGCAUCUAUAAGCUCCCCUACUUGUUUCUCAGGCCAGCACAAAUGGCUGCUCUUUGUCAGA